UUGAACACAGCCUGCAGAUGCAGCUGUCCUGGUCCAGAAGAUGAAAGGUUGCAUGAGCGAAAAUGUACUGAAGCUGUUAAAAGUUACUUAUUCUGAGCCCUUUUAAGAAAGGCUUAGAACCAGGUUGCCUCCCAGGAGAACAGGAGCCUUUAACACUGUCCAUUUGAGAAAAAACAAUGGUAAUAUAGUCAGUGUUUUACAAAAGUUAUUUUCCUUAGGACUUCAGUGGCUUCUGGCUACAAGAGGGAAGAAUCAUAAUAUAGUGUCCCUUUGCAUGAGGGGAAGAAAACAGAUAACAGACUUUUCAUAGUAACUGAGUAAACUUUGCCUAUGCUAACUAUUGUAAGAAAAGACAGGGAGGAAAGUAAACACAUGCCAGAAAAUUAAAUGCUCUGGAAAACAGAAGAAGUCUGAAUGGAAAAUAAGUAAAAUAAGUGUAUACAAAACACUAGAAGCUCCACCCCUGCUGCUGACUUGUUAAGUGGGGGCAGGGGACCAGAGAGGUCUGCAGCAGUGGAAAAUUCUUUGUCCACUCCAGACUGGUUGAAGUUGCUGUAGUCUGCAUUGCAUCUGGAGGACUCAUUGUAAGCAUAUCUUUAAUGCAGUUUUGAAUCAUUAACACAGGGCCAUUCAGAAGGAGAAGUAGUGCUUUGAGGCAUAUAUGGAAAGCAAAGAAUGGAGCAACUAAGCGCAUGAAGCACAACACAUUUGACUAGGAAAUACACUCUUGUGGCACAAAUAUACCUAAAAAUUCUAAAGAGAUGAGGAAAGCUGGAAGGUUAGCACACAAUUUCUUUUCCAUUUGCUUAGUAUUUCUCCUGUUUCAAGUAUUCACUCAUUCUGCUCCCAACUGAACCCACCUCCUCUGCCCUCGCCAGCCUCUCCAUACUCCACAAAGUGAAGAGGGCUCUCAGUGUAUCCUGGAUCCAGGCUUGUUCCCAAGAGAUUUGUAUGACUGAGAUUGUCUGCCUUUAACGAGGAGUGUCUGAAUUUUACGAAGCCUUUUUUGUUCGUGAAGAAUUCUUCUGUGCUUCAAGACUCUGGGGAAACUCUUAUCUGCAUUGUAAGUUCCACUCAAAGCAAAAUUUUUAUUUAAACUAAAUCUGCUUGGCUGAAAGAUAAAAAAAUAGAAUUUAAGAGCCUUCUUGAAUUUUCUACAGAGUAGCCUCUCUUAUAAAUGACGAGUUUGGUGUGAUUGAGAACUGCCCAGCAGCACAGCCAUGCUCUCUUCCUGUGACACAGAGCACACAAAUGCAAAAAUGCAAUCUGGUCCAUUAGACCAGAAUGUGGAGUUGAAAAAGGAUGUCUGGGGUGAAUGAAAUUUCUGCAAGUCUCUACUCUCAGCACCUGGGUAGGAAGCAACAGAGCUGGAGGUAUACAGAGGAAUUCAAAACUGAAGAAAGCUGUGAACUGACAAAGGUCUCUUGUCCACUCUGCAGGCUUUUAUAUACAUCAAGGGAAAGAGGAGAGAUAUUUUACAGCAAACCAGAAGUGUCCUAAAUUAAGAUUGUUGCAAUGUGAUGUCUUUGCAGUUUGCGUACAUACUAACAUGAGGCAGAAUUCAGAGCAUUGGAAUGUGAAGGCAGAUCCAUUUGAAUCAGAAAUAUGAUUACAUAAAAGUUCAUCAUUAAGGUAAUAUUUUCAGGAACAUCUAAACAGAAUUUUUGAAAAUCAUCUUCUUAGUCUAAGAUCUCCAAAGAUGUUUCAUCCAGUUACUAAACCUGCAUAUGGCUUCCUCCUCUAUCAGCUGUCCGAGCUAAAACAAUACUUUGUGACAAUCACUAAACAGAAAAGCAUCUCUGAAGAUACUGAUGUGAUUAGGUGUGAGGCCAAGAGCCUGUUUUUUUUUUUAAUAAAAAAAGUGCUAGAAGAGCACUUUAUAACCACAGUAAAUCAAAGUUUGGGCUAGACAACACAGCAGAGAAGUCACGUGAUGUGAAAUAUGAGUUGGGGGAGAAUGCAAUAGAGAGGGAAGUGAAAAGGUAUAUUUAAACUGGAUUUUCAUUUUCCAGUGUUACCAAAGUGUGAGUUAACCAGUCAGCUUUUCUUUGCUGACUCUGAAUUCUCUUCCUUACUUCAAUAUUGUGCUGCUAACACACAACUGCACAGCAAAACAUGCAGAUAUGAGCACUCUCUGUGCCUCAGGCCUGUGAAACACAGCACUAUGGUAACACAGCACUAAAUCUGGACAAUGCACCCUGUCCCUCAGCAAGGACUAAGAGCUCAGGAUCAGCUUCAUGGUAACAGCUUUUCAGCUGUCUGGAAUGGAGGCAAAGUGAGUUUUAUCUUCCCACAAUGUACUUUGUGGAGCUAUCCAUAUUGGGUCAAAUUUGGAAGAAGCACUGAAAGAUUUUUUAAUACACAACUGUGCCAUACACCAACAGAAAGCAAAGUGCAUUGCAAAGGAGGGAAGCAUCACUGCCCAUAUUUCAUGAUACACAGUAUUCAGACAAAAAAAAAAAAAGCAACACAAUGGUCAGGUCUGAGGUGUGGUUCAGGUCUCCACUGCCUUAUCCACCAGAAAUAUUGUGACUCUAACUGGCAGUUAGCAGGAUUGUUCAUAUUCUCAUAAUAUAUUCAUAAUAUUCAAUCCUAUCAUUCUUUAUAUUAAAUCCCAUGUUUAUCAACAAAUGGAUAAAUUACAAACCCUACAGUGCACUCUAUGCAGCCUGAUAUUUUUUUUCCCUAGUUUAAUGCCUACAGAAUCAAGGCAGAAUUAUGUCAAUCUUUUGUGAAAAUGAGCAUAAUUUUAAAUUCUGUAAACUGGCAAAAGCAAUAAUAGUACCCAUAUAAAAAUAUGCACUGCUUGUCAAGUUUCAUAUCUUUACAUAGAAAGUGAAAGAUAAAGCUCACAAUUUCCUAUAAUUAUGCUUUGAUUACAAAUUAUUUAAUGUUCUAUAUUAUUCUUAAUAUAAAGAAGUUGAUUGUAUGCAAUACACAGUGUCCUGAGUUGCUCUGUCUACUUUUGUGCUUAA